UUUUUUUAAUUUAGCCCAAAAAUAGAUGUAAAUGGGCUUUAGUCCAAAUUUAGCAGAAAAAAAACUUUUAUUUCGCACCACAAAGCCAUUAACAUAAACUAGUGAAGAAAUUAGACAUCAUGUCUGAUCGCACUGUUAAAUAUAUUUAAAUAUAUUUUGAAAACACUUGAUGGUCACGCGCUGUACUGGAGUCACCAUGGAAACGGGGCUCAGCUCAACCGUCAAGCAGCUGAACAGACGCUGUCUCUCAUGGUUGUUUUCACUAAUUUCAGUUUAUAGAAAUGGUCAGUGUCUUCAUGAAAAGUCCGUUAGCAUCUCAACUGUAAUGCAAACUACAAGAGAUUCUUCCAUGCUGAUGGCCGUGCCUGUAUCCAGCUGAAGAACAUUUUUAGACAUUAUGAAACAUAUAACUAAGACUGAAAAUCAUUGAUAAACCACAAGCUCCAACCCCAGUUAAGCAGACCUGAGCAGCCGAUCAAGGAUCAGCAGAAACUCUGCAGAACGGUGGUCCUCCAGCCCAGGACUGGACACCAGUGUUAUGCUGCAGAAAAAAGAGCGAGGCUAAAGCAUUCAAAGUGGAAACAUCUGCCGUGGCUCAUUAAUCCAGAAUUGGGAUGGAGGAAGGAGCAGAAGAAGCAGAAGAUCAGAGAUCAGGCAGAGAUCUACUGGUGCCCCUGUGGGAACCCCAUUUACCUACUGUGUUAGUUUAACCAAAGAUUUUCCUCACUCACCUUUAUGUUGUUCCAAACCAGACUUUUGUUCAUCCUUGAAACAUAAAUGCGGAACUUUUUAAUGAAAUCUGAGAUUAUUUUCUUUAUAUAAAAUAACACAUUCACACAAGCACCAUGAUGCAUCAGUGUUGCAUUGGCGUGAGAGCUGGCGCUUUUGGUGCUUUUGUGAAAAUCCAUUGGGGAGUCAUAAUUUCUGAAUAGAUUAUUUUUGCUGUUGUUAUUGUUUGUUUGUUUUUUUUUGUACACAAGGCAUCUGUUAAAAAAAUAUCUUAAUUUGUGUUCUGCACAAAAGGGUGUUAUGGGUUUGGGGCAACAUGAGGGUAAGUAAUUAAUGACAGAAUUAAAAUUUUUGGUUGUUCUAAUGUGGUUAUAAUUGGUCAUAGUUUAUUUGUCUUGAAAAAAUAUAUUUAUACAGAAACAUGGAUUAAUUUGAUAAGUUUAUAGUAAAGCCUUUUAAAUUGAUAAAAAAAAAAA